UGUAUAUUUUGUAUGUAGUAAUGUUUCAGAUUGUCGCCUGUACAGGGGAGAUGCUGUCGAAAUUUCUUCGGACAGGGACUUCUUUGGGGCGUGACAAUUUAGUGGUAUCAGAGCCAAGUUUCGAUGCUUGUUUUUCGUGUACUGAAUUUUUGAUUUAAUCUGAUACCAAUUUAGUGGUAUCAGAGCGAAGUUUUACGAUGCCUAUUUUUGGGGUUUCGAUUUUUUUUUUUGGUUUUCCCUUUGUAAAUUGAUUCCUUGAUGUGACUCUCGAGUUGUGGGACCAGGCAGCGGCAGUAUAUCUCCGAGCUAUAGGAAAUAAGGUAACAGAUAGAUGAGUCAUGGAUGCUUGGAGAAAUGUCGGCUGCCAGUCCUGGAUCUCACGUCACACUCGAGGAUAGUUUCUUUUGGGUCUUGUCACUGUUUGGAUGUAUAUUAGUUUUGCGUAUUUUGGUUUUGAACAAGUCGAUGUGUUUUUAGAGUCUAGUCUGGGGGUUGUAGGUAAUUUAGUUAGUAACUUUGUCGGUCAUACAUUUGUUUUCUUUUGUGAUUUCCGCUGCGUUUACAUCCAGCCGUGUAGGCUGAGUAUUUA